UACGCUUAACCAUUGACUCCUAACUCUUA
rnacentral:piRNA from 1 species